rnacentral:rRNA from 1 species
AUACGGAGGAUCCGAGCGUUAUCCGGAUUUAUUGGGUUUAAAGGGAGCGUAGGUGGAUUGUUAAGUCAGUUGUGGAAGUUUGCGGCUCAACCGUAAAAUUGCAGUUGAAACUGGCAGUCUUGAGUACAGUAGAGGUGGGCGGAAUUCGUGGUGUAGCGGUGAAAUGCUUAGAUAUCACGAAGAACUCCGAUUGCGAAGGCAGCUCACUAGACUGUUACUGACACUGAUGCUCGAAAGUGUGGGUAUCAAACAGGAUUAGAUACCCUGGUAGUCCACACAGUAAACGAUGAAUACUCGCUGUUUGCGAUAUACAGUAAGCGGCCAAGCGAAAGCAUUAAGUAUUCCACCUGGGGAGUACGCCGGCAACGGUGAAACUCAAAGGAAUUGACGGGG